CCUACGGGGGGCAGCAGUGGGGAAUAUUGGACAAUGGGGGCAACCCUGAUCCAGCCAUGCCGCGUGUGUGAAGAAGGCCCUCGGGUUGUAAAGCACUUUCAGUGAGGAAGAACGCCUGGUGGUUAAUACCCAUCAGGAAAGACAUCACUCACAGAAGAAGCACCGGCUAACUCCGUGCCAGCAGCCGCGGUAAUACGGAGGGUGCGAGCGUUAAUCAGAAUUACUGGGCGUAAAGCGCGCGUAGGUGGCUUGAUAAGCCGGUUGUGAAAGCCCCGGGCUCAACCUGGGAACGGCAUCCGGAACUGUCAAGCUAGAGUGCAGGAGAGGAAGGUAGAAUUCCCGGUGUAGCGGUGAAAUGCGUAGAGAUCGGGAGGAAUACCAGUGGCGAAGGCGGCCUUCUGGACUGACACUGACACUGAGGUGCGAAAGCGUGGGUAGCAAACAGGAUUAGAUACCCCGGUAGUC
rnacentral:rRNA from 1 species